GGCGAAGAUUGGCCCAAGAUAUGAUAUGCCAAAUCAAAAUCAUUCAAUUCCCUCUCAGUGAAUUUCUAUGCCAGUGCUUUGCUAAUGUUUGGCUGGAGAUAAACAAUGGAGGUACUAGCAUUGAAUUUCUACUUUCCACUUUUAUGUGCCAACUUCUGGAUCCUCUUUUGAUCAAAGGCUCAAAGCAUCUCUGGUUGUUAUGCAAUACUGCUAGCCUGCAACUGAAGGAGCAAUAAAGUCAUUGGCAAUAACUUCAGAGUUAUGUGGGGAAAACAGAUGGCAUAUGGCUAACAGUAUUGCACCUUUAUAUGGACUCGUGAGAUUCUUAAUUUCCAGUUUCCAGGUCAUCAGUUGCAUAUAUUUACUUCUAAUUAUGGAUGUAGGUUAUGGAGAGCACCUGUGGAUUCACUUACUCCUACAAUAGUAGACAUGCUCAAUGAAUAAGCUAAAGUAAAUCAA